UCGGCCUUUCUAUAAAUGGAGAUUGGAAGGAGGAAUGAGGUAUGGCUGGACAUUUAGCUAUCUCCUAGAGUUGAAAUCAGAAAGCUCACUCCAGUUUCUUCAUUUCCGUAGAACAUACUUGGUUCUGGGUUUUAAUCGUGGUUGGGUGGUAGUUUUUUAAUUCGUAUUUCAGGCUGUGUAACACCGUCCCGAGAAGGGGAAAUCACAGUAUGAGUUCUCCCGUUCGGACAGGUUGAUCAAUUAGAGUUUAAAAGUUUAGUUAAGCUUAGCAAGUGGAUCAUUUUAGUUAGUUUAGUUCCUCAGUUCAUUUAGUCAAGCAGUUUAACUUAACCCACUUUGAAUCCGUGGCAGCAGCCAUUCGAAAUUUUUCCUUAACAAAUGUAGAACACAUCGUCUCUGUGGGAUUCGACCCUUACUUCCCUUUACUAAAUCAUAGUAUUGUGGGUUAAAGUCUUGAAAGCUCCGAGUUCCUCCGUUUGCGCACCCAAGGGAACAUGAGUAGGUUGCACUAAGUCAACUUGAUCAGUUAGAUUUGGCACUGGACCGGUUCACAGGCACUCGCAGGUAGAAGAAGACGUCACCCAGCUGGAUCAGUUAGAGACUUCGACUUGAUCAAUCCACGACAAUCAACUCACAAUUCAGUUAACGUAGAAGGGAACCAAUCGACAACACAGGAAUCUCCAGAAGCAGCUUUCACACGGGUUUUAAAAAAUGUAAAGAAAUGUGGGUUGAGUAUGUUAGUGAAAUAUGAGUCUCACUUAUAUAUAUUAGUUUUAAAAUAAA